AGUCAUAUGCUUGUCUCAAAGAUUAAGCCAUGCAUGUCUAAGUAUAAACACGUUUUGUACUGUGAAACUGCAGAUGGCUCAUUAAAUCAGUUAUGGUUUAUUUGACCUUAAAAGCUACACGGAUAACUGUAGUAAUUCUAGAGCWAAUACGUGACAAAAGUGCGGACUGCGCGAGCGGGAAGCAUGUACUUAUUAGACAGAAAUAAAAUCAACGAAAAAAUUGAAUAAUAAUAAUUGUUCGGAUCGCAUGGCAUAAAGCCGGCGACAGGUCAUUCAAAUUUCUGCCCUAUCAGCUUUCGAUGGUAGAAUAUUGGCCUACCAUGGCAGUGACGGGUAACGGAGAAUUAGGGUUCGAUUCCGGAGAGGGAGCCUGAGAAACGGCUACCACAUCUACGGAAGGCAGCAGGUGCGCAAAUUACCCAAUCCUAAAACAGGGAGGUAGUGACAAGAAAUAACGACGGCGGGCCAAAAGGUCAGCCAAUCGGAAUGAGGACAGUGUAAAAACCUUAUCGAAAACAAGUGGAGGGAAAGUCUGGUGCCAGCAGCCGCGGUAAUACCAGCUCCWCUAGCGUAUACUAAAGUUGUUGCAGUUAAAAAGCUCGUAGUUGGAUAUCGUGGAUGGCAGGAGAAAUUGUCGGGAAUCAUCUUGACGGUGGUCAAAGAGCCAUUAGUGGUUCAGCGACCGGCCAGCCAUCCACUAGAUUGGGAGAACCAGUAGGCCAUUAAGUUGGCGGCUGGAGAACCCGAUAUUUUACCUUGAGAAAAUUAGAGUGUUCAAAGCAGGCGUGAAGCCGGCAAUGGAUUAGCAUGGUAUAAUAAGAUAGGACUUUGGUUCUAUUUUGUUGGUUUUGAGCUGAAGUAAUGAUUGAUAGGGAUAGUUGGGGGUGCUAGUAUCGCCGGGCCAGAGGUGAAAUUCUCGGAUUCCGGUGAGACUAACGUAAGCGAAAGCAUUCACCAAGGAUAUCUUCGUUAAUCAAGAACGAAAGUCGGGGGAUCGAAGACGAUCAGAUACCGUCGUAGUCCCAACCAUAAACGAUGUCGACUGGGGAUUGGGUAGUGUCGGAGAGCGACAUACUCAGGACCCUAUUUGAGAAAUUAAAGUCUUUGGACUCGGGGGGAAGUAUGCUCGCAAGAGUGAAACUUAAAGAAAUUGACGGAAGGGCACCACCAGGUGUGGAGCCUGCGGCUUAAUUCGACUCAACACGGGAAARCUUACCAGGUCCGGACAUAGUGAGGAUUGACAGAUUGAAGCUCUUUCAUGAUUCUAUGGGUAGUGGUGCAUGGCCGUUCUUAGUUGGUGGAGUGAUUUGUCUGGUUAAUUCCGUUAACGAACGAGACCUCGGCCUGCUAAUUAGUAGAACGUAUUAGUGGCGCGCAGAGCGAUCYGCAAACCAAAAUACGGAGCAGCAUAAACUGCAACUACUUCUUAGAGGGACGAUCGGCUAUUGAAGCCGAUGGAAGCGUGAGGCAAUAACAGGUCUGUGAUGCCCUUAGAUGUUCUGGGCUGCACGCGCGCUACAAUGGCACAUUCAACACGAAAAAAGCUAAACCGAAAGGUUAGGCAAAUCAUAAAAAUGUGCCGUGAUUGGGAUAGAUGAUUGCAAUUAUUCAUCUUGAACGAGGARUAUCUAGUAAACGCAAGUCAUCAGCUUGCAUUGAAUACGUCCCUGCCCUUUGUACACACCGCCCGUCGCUCCUACCGAUUGAAUGAUCCGGUGAAUGCCGUGGAUGACGACAUGUUUUCAUAAUAYUGUUGUUAUGAARUGCAAAGUUGACAAAAGCGGUAUGAACCAAAUCAUUUAGAGGAAGGAGAAGUCGUAACAAGGUUUCC
rnacentral:rRNA from 1 species